CCUACGGGUGGCUGCAGUAGGGAAUAUUGCUCAAUGGGGGAAACCCUGAAGCAGCAACGCCGCGUGAAGGAUGAAGUAUUUCGGAUUGUAAAGCUCUUUUGUUAGAGAAGAAAAUGACGGUACCUAACGAAUAAGCACCGGCUAACUCCGUGCCAGCAGCCGCGGUAAUACGUAGGGGGCAAGCGUUAUCCGGAUUUACUGGGCGUAAAGGGAGCGUAGACGGGAUGGCAAGUCAGAAGUGAAAGCCUAUGGCUUAACCAUAGAACUGCAUUUGAAACUGCUAUUCUAGAGUAUGGGAGAGGUAGGUGGAAUUCUUGGUGUAGGGGUGAAAUGCGUAGAGAUCAAGAGGAAUACUCAUUGCGAAGGCGGCUUACUAGACCGUAACUGACGUUGAUGCGCGAAAGCGUGGGGAGCAAACAGGAUUAGAUACCCGUGUAGUC
rnacentral:rRNA from 1 species